ensembl:lncRNA
CUGGCCUUGUGCUUCAGCUUGAUGGUUUUCUGCCUCUCUGGAGACUCCCACACUGUGCUGUAUCUAUACUUCUGAAUCAAUCACUAUCUAGCAAGCUUCAAAGCACAAAGAGACACAGCGGCAUGAGAUGCACAAACACACAUAUACAUAGGUGUGCAAAUGCGCACAUGCAUCAAACAAAAUCUACGGAUCGUCGGAUUGCUCCCAUGGCAAGAGUAAAAACAAGUGGCGAGUAGAAAAACAGAUGGAACUAUACCGGGCUCCUCUUCACACUCAGGCAUGAGCAUGAGGAACGGGUGUCAUAUCCACCUCUGCCAUGAUUCCUCGAGCUGUGCCAUGAAACACAUCACACGUCAGACUGAAGGAGAGAACAACCUCAGAGGCCACUGCCACCCAUCUGUGGAAAAUCAGUGUGCUGUGUAUAUGUAUGUGUGUGUAUAUACUGUCACUGGGGCCCAUCAUAUUGGCAGAUCUGCACUUUGGAGGACAUCACCUGGCAUGUCUGUGAAUCCUGACGAGCAGACAGACACACUGGGAAUAUGUUACACAGUUCUUUCUCUAAAAGCUCUCUUUAUUGUAGGCUGCCUGCUUUCACUUUCACAAACACACACACACACACACACACACACUCACAAAAAUGGUCCCCGCUUCAAUGGCAUAUUCUUGGCUGUUCUAACACAUCCUACUGUUUGUCUGUAGCUGAAGUGAAAAAGCAGAUUCUCUUACAGUACAACAGGGCUUCAUUUCUCUUGCAUGAAAGUUGGAAAAGUUUGGAAUGGAGGUGUUUGGUAUCUCAGCGUCCACAGGGAGUGCAGGUUGCCUUAGUCUUUUUUUUUUCUCCCCCUUUCACUUUUCUGCCCUCUUUCCCAAUAAGAAUAAGAUAACACAAAGACCUGCUAUCUGGAGAUAAAAGUGAAAUACUGCACUGUGCUUUACUUUUUCCUGAAAAAAGAAAAAAAGAAAAAAAAAACCCUGCAGAACUGACUCUUGCAGUAGGUAAUGGAGUUUAAAAGUUAAAUACCUCUCCCAAGCCUUCCAAGGUCACUUACUUUGGCCUUAAAAGCUUUUUCGGUUGAUUUCUUUUUUGUGCAAAUUCAAGUGUCACCCGAGAAAAAAAAAUGAUCGGGUCUCUUUGUUUCUUGUUUAUUUCAGAUCAAUCCUAAGUGAUUCUGUUACAAGGCUUCUCUGGCGUUUUGUGGUUUCACAUGCUUUUGGCCCAAUCCAAUUGUGCUGGGGCUAACCAGCACCAGUUCUGGGAAGAUCUGUGAUUCAUAACUGAACAUGGCACAUCAAUCAUCAGAGAUUGACGAUAGAAAUCCCUCAAUCUGGCUGCUUAAUGUGAUUAGGGUAGUGCCAGUCAUUUUGAAGUUGUCCUUAUUUUCAUUUACAGGAUUUCAGAAAGAUUUUUCUGGCUAAAGUAACUGGAAAGUAAGGUUAUUAUUUUCAUUAAAAGUCAAGUACAUUUAGUGUCGACCAAGCUGUUUUGUUUUUUUGGGGGGUAUUAAAUCGUACAGAAUGAAAGGCACACAGAAGCACACGCACACACACGCACACACACACACACACACACACACACACACACACACUCACACACACACACACACUUUUGUUCCAGUCACUCACGGUUCAUUAUCAUGCUGCUUACAUCUCUUUGUCCCUUUUAGUCAUGAGAAUGAAGCUGUUCACUGUUCCAGAUUCAGGCAACACCUGGCCAGAGCCUGGUCACAUGACUCUGAGGUCAGGCCCACAGUUCCACACACACAAUGGCCGGCUUUGUGUUCAGGUGUACAGCAAGGCUCCCAUGUGAUACACACUGUGUGACACAGAAGGAGGGGGUAGAAUGUCUGAUCUGGUCUCGUCCUACCUCAAGACACACGGCUCUGAGUGUCUGAACCUCUUCCUGAUGCAAUUCCUUGCAAAUGGCACACUUACAUUACUCCUGAAUUGUGAAUUUGGUCUUUCUCCUUGGCUUAACUUAUUCUCAUUAUGAUUUGUCAAAAGUGUCAUUUUUUUUUUCGGGGGAGGGAACAAAAAGUGCAGCUAGACAAUAAAAUUCCAUCAUGGCCUGAAAUCCUAUUGCCAUAUGUGAUAUGUCCAUGUCAAUCAAAUCUCAGCAGCACAUUGUGGGUGUCAGAAUAAGCCUGGGACAUAUUUUAUUUCUUUAUGUAAAUUCUAUUUAUAUAUUCUAUCAUUAUUUCUUAGGAUUUAUUUGCCUACUGCAUAGGCUAGAAGGUAGAGUAAAGUGUCAUAUUGCAAAAAUACACUGUAUGUGCGGUAAUUCUCAUAACACCAGUAACAUGUCAGUCAAUCAAAGAUGACUGCAAUGUUAUGGGACGACAUGGCCAACAGAGAGGCAACAUUAAGUAAAAUGGGAAUGUACUGUAUGAACAAAUAUGAAUGGACCCUUUUAACUGUGAAGGUUACCUUACUAUGAUUUCAAACCAACAGGAAUCACAGUAGCUACUAAAUUAUAUAAAUGUAACAAUAACUUCAAGUGUAGCACUCUCUUGGUGAAAUAAUGAUUGAGCCACAUUUACCAUUUCAGUCGACCUAAGACUGAUCAUUUUAAUAUCCACCGUAUUAGAAAUUCCAUCAUCUACAAUUCAGAAAAACAAAUCACACACUGCAAUGUCCUUCUAGAAAAAUAAACAAUUUAUUGUAUAAAUAAACUUCAUAGUGCAAACAUAUUCAAGUAAAUUUUGAUCCAAAAUAUUUGUGCAAGGAGAAGGCUGUACAAUCACACUUUGCAUAGUGACUUCACUUGUAUACAACAUUCAAGGCAUGUAUCUUGUGUCAAUCCAGAUGCUACUGUGAAUUUAUUAAAAUUCCAGCUGCUAUAGUAUAUGGUCUGCACUCCACAAACCAAUACACAUAAUCUGGGAAACUCUCAAAGAAGACAAUUCAUCCAUCCCUCAGAUCCAGGGCAUAUCUAUAAAUGGGUUGAAGUCAUCAUCCAUUGAUGCUCUUAACCUGAGGAUGAGAAGAAAGAAUAUCAGUUACAAAUAAGCCCUAUGUACAUCAGUAAGUAUUUCCUCAAGGCAUCCCGCAUAGUUAAGGGUUCAUUGUCACCUAAAAGGGUUCUAGAUGGAACCUUUUGUGGUAUGGAACAUUUAAGGAUUUCCCACAAAGUGAUAAACAUUAAAGCUUUUAGGGCUCUAGAUGAACCCUUCAAAGUUCUCCAUGUUUUUCUGAGCUCAACAUUUACCAUUUACCAAUCUGUUUUAGAUAGAGUACUUACGGACAUAAGUGCAUUGAAGAAAUACUAAGUAGUUGUUUUUUGUUAAUAAAACAAAAAAACAAAAACAAAAAAAACAAAAACAAAAAACCCUAAAAAUGUGUACAUUUGUAUCAAUUUACAAAUUACCAUUAAGAAGACUGUAUUACACCUGUAUUAAACAUAUUUAAUGAAUAUUCACUCUAAUUGCAACUGAUGAGUGUCAUAUGUUUACCACCGGAGGUAGGACCAAGUCAUUGCUUUGCAAUGACUCAAGUCUCAAGUCUUGGCAUUCAAGUCCCAAGUCAAGAGUGAUGAGUCUAAGUCAAGUCCUUAAAUUUAUGUUUUGAGUCCUAAACAAGUCAUAAUGUGCUCUUUACCAAAUUUAAGGCCAGAGUAAUAACUACAUUUAUAAUUAUGUACAUUUAUACAAAUCAUGGGGUUUUUUUGUAAAAUUUCUGGACAAAAUGUAUUAUUCAGUGGAUAUAUAUAUAUAUAUACAGUUACGGCAAUGUGCCUCUGUCAUCUUUUCACUUUGUUGUUGUCUAGUGCAAGUUGAUUGGCUGUCGAACUGGUUGAACAAUGACCACAGAAACAAAGAUUGAUGCUGAUUUGCUGAAAAUUCAUUGUUUAUUUAGAAAAAAAGAAUAGUACAUUCACUGCAUACUUUAAAAUGUAUCAUUUAAAAUGUUUGGUUUUGAAUCAAGCCUUACAAAGUCAAAAGACUGGAGUUCAAGUGAAGUUACAUGUCAUUGUGAAAGUCAGCAAAUAUGUGAUUUGUGUCCAAGUCGAGUCCACAACACUGCUAACUGUUACAUUACGGUUAGCUAGAUCUCUGGUACGAGGUAGAUGAAAAGCCCAAGUGAUUGUUUUAUGUUUUUUUUUCUUUUAGCAAGAACAAUUUUAAGAUGUGCUUACACUAGGCCCGGUUGCGUUGUACCGUGAUCAAGCACGAUUGUCCCCACUUCCCAAUUCCCCACUGGCCUGCACUCACAGUAUACUUAACAUCCCGGGCCUGAGAACGCGUACGUCAUUAUGGUGCUGCUUUUAGUUUUGAAGAAAACAAGAAAACAGGAAGAAAAGCAUUCUCGCACAGCACAACGAAGCACAUCAUCAUGACGUUACUUAUCUUUAAACAUACUUUGUUAUGUUAGCUUUUACAUGACUUUUAUACAGUUGGUAUAUAUGCUUAUUUUUAUUAUUUGAAUCUAUACAUGAUUGUGUUUUUAUGUAAAGUGACUUGAAAAGCUACUUUUAAAGGCACAAUAUUAAAUAAAGAUUAUUAAUAUUGCAGUUUAUUUGUAGUCGUUUGGGGCACGGUGACAGCACAGCGAUUUUUGCUGCAUGGUAUCAGAAGAUUUUUCCGCAGGCAGCUGACAGUUGCAUCAGUGACAUCAUGUUUUGCGUUUCGUGCUCAGCCACGAUUAAUGAUCACACUAGAUGUGUACCGUGCCAGAGUCCAACUGAACCAUGCCUGAGCCCACCUCUUCAAGUGGGCCUGGGCACGGUACGGAGUGAUCAAACUAGUCAAGCGAACUGGUCUUUGGGAGUCAAAUGUGCUCGGGCAUGGUACAGAUCAUCUAGUCUUAGUACACCCUUAGUGAAUUUAAUCAGUGAAGUAAUAAGUGAAGCUAUAAGCUCGAAGAAUAUCUCAUUUUAAAUAUAAAACUUCAGUAACGUUCCAUACAAUUUGUCUUGUUUUUAUGACUUUUUCAAUGAAAGCAUGCUGAUGUCAACUUCUUCUCCCUAACUCUGUCUAAAUGGUUUGUUCUGUAAGCCAGGGGCCAUAUAUAUCAAAUGUCUCAAGGAUCAUAUUUCUACAGUCUAAUAGCAUUCAUUAAAAAAAAUCUCAGAACUUGGGAACCCCACAGACUUAUAUUUUAAGUUAUUCAUUAUAUUUUUAGUUAUAUUUCACUAUUGAAGGUCUUUUUACUGUUUUGGUUUACUAUCUCUACUAAUCCAGCACAAAAAUAAUAUACUGUACAGUUACUCUAAUAUAACAAAAACAUUUCCAGGUGCAAUUAAAUCACAUAAUACUGUAUCUUAUAUCAUGUCUCUUUGACUUAUGCAAAAAAACAUUCUAUUCAACCUUCCACGUGUGAAAAGUAUGCAUACAUAAAUCAUGAAUCUUAGAACUUAAUCAUGAGAGAUGCAUUCAAAAACUUCACUGCUUUGAGGAAUGAAAAAGAUCUCAAAGGUCUUAAGAUGCCAUGUAUUCACUGUCAACAAAGAGGGGAACAAUAAUGGCUGACAGGUGUCCUCCCCAUUUCAGGUUGCACUUUUGUUCCACUAUGCCCUGAGUCUUCUCACAUGGAUUUUCUUUCUGUGCCUACAACCUGAUAAGACGUUUCCUUUUUUUUUUAUGUGAGCAACAUUGGUCUGGGAGUGUCUUGCGUUUUAGCCUUCUGUUAACUUUGAUCAUUCUGUUUUCACAUAAGCAAGAAAGAGAAUUGAUAGGAUUUCACUCCCACCUCCUUCAACAGCCCUCUACAAGAGUAUUACUGUAUUAGGUUUCCACAUAACUACAUUGUACUAAGGAAAAUAUGCGAGAUCAGCAGAGAUGUCUGUGGGAACCUACAGAGAUGUACAUGGCAUUAGCAAGAUGCUAGCUGUGUUUUUGUUUUCUGAAAUAGUUUGGUCUAAACAGACCAUUUAUCAUUUGUGGCCCUGUAUUCUGAUCUACAUAAUAACAUUCACAGACAUCCACACAAAGCUUAAAAUCAAGUUACCUACAAUGCUGCUGCCACAGAAGUCACAGAAAGUCCUAAAUACUGCAGAGAAGUGGAGUUCUGGCUAAAACUUGUGUAAUAAACAACAAAAUAAGAUCUAAACCCACAGUGUAGAGAUUAGGUCCAAGUUUUAAGAGAUACUGUAACUCUUAAAAUCUCUGUGUAACAAAUAUAUAAAAGCUUACACAAAGCUUAGAGGUGCCUGUUGUAAGUUAUUUGAAGGUGAAUGGUACAACUAAUAAACUGACUAUUGUGUGUAUAUCUGAAGCCGAUAGCAGGAAUUAAUGUAAAAUGGGUGAUUAUGCAGAACAGGUCUGUUAGCAAGGAAUUCUAGACCUUGGAAUUAUAAGGUCCUCUCUGAUAAUUCUGUGAUUUUAAGAUAUUGAGCCAUAAAGUAUUGGCUCUCAAUAAGGUCUAAACAAAAACAAUUAAAAAAUUAUUCUCCUAUUCAUUCAUUCAUUCAUUCAUUCAUUCAUUCAUUCAUUCAUUCAUUUUUAGUCAGCACUUUAUCUGGACAGGGUUAUGGUUGAUCUGGAGCCUAUACCUCGAACAUUCGACAUGACACAGGAAUGCACUCUGAAUGGGACCCUAGUCCAUCACAGAGCACCAUGAACACACACAUUCAUACACUCAUCCACACCUAGGGGUAAUUUAGCAAAGCCAAUCCACUUACUGGCAUGUUUUGGGAAGUAAGAGGAAACCAGAAAACCUGGAAGAAACCCACAUGAAAAAAGGACACCAUACAAACUUCACAACGCAACGCAACUGUCUUAGACACCAUGCAACUGUGCCACCCUCAGUGGCAUGUAAUUCUGUACCACUUAUCCUACACAGGGCCGUGAGGAGUCUGGAGCCUAUCCUAGGGAACUCGGGGCACAAGGCGGGAAUACCAUGGAUGGGGUGCUAACCCAUUGCAGGGCACAAUCGCGCACAAACUACGGACAAUUUGGAAAUGCCAAUCAGCCUACAAUACAUUUACUUGCAAAUUCAUAACAAUACUCCUGACUGUAUUUGUAUGAAAUGCUAUGAAAGUUAAUGUGAAGGUAAUGUCUGUACUGUCUCUUAAGAUUUAAUUUCAAAAUUAGAUCUCUUUCUCAUGGCCUGUAAAAUAAUAAUCUUACAUGGAGAUGAAAACAGUCUCCACUGUUAGAAUUGUAUACUUAUUUCAGGUGCAAAGGUCAUUCUUUUAAAUCUGACCUGUUUCCGCAAAUAUAGUGUUCUUUGGUUUCCACUUUUGCCUCUUGACAUGGUUCCAAAUCUUAGCUGCUUUAAUGUUUCAACAGAUUUUGCAGAAGCAAUUUUUUAUAUCCCCAACCAUAGCAAUGAUUACACAAUAACAAAAAGUACUCCAGUCUGAUGGGAUGCUUUAAAAACCGCCAGCUACAGACUGUACAGUUCCUUUGGAAAUAGAGAGAAAAACAUAAUCUAGCACAGACUGAUUAGAGAUCGGCAUCACUGGGUGUUUCAUCAUCGUCUCCCUGGUGCUGACUCAGCACAAAGCGCAUAACAAAUUUAAGUGUGACCUGUGUCCACAUACUGUCUAUCACUCUAAAGUGAUCCACACACCCAAACCAAACUUCCUGACUAGCUGUUUUUAGAUUGCGCACACCCCCUGUCCUCAGUGAUCAAACUGCAAACUUCUAUUCGGUGCUGAGUGCUUCCAUUAAACUAAGUAGUCCUCCACAUUUAGCUUGCGUAGCAUUUUCUUCACAUAGCUGCUAAUAAAUAGCCCACUUCAGCACAGUGUAUGGCCUGCUCUCAAUAGGCACGUAAUGAUAUACAUUAUUCUAUAAACUAGCAUGUUAAUGUGAACUGUAUGGCAUAAAUAAUCAAGUGGACCUAUUAUCAGUUCUGAUGAAAUUUGUUUAGGUUAGGAAAUCAUGCUAGUAAUUGCACACUAGGGUCAGGAAGUAAAAGUCUCAGGAAUUGGCAGCAGUUAUUUGCUGAGUAGGUGUAACGUACAGUACAAGUAGCAAUAUUUAUGCACAUAUUCAACCAAGGUCACAGAAAGAUUUUGACAAACAACACAGAUUGAUUGUAAAUGUGAUUCCAUUGAUCUAAUAAUAGGAAGUAUCUCUAACGAAUGUUUAGCAUUGGUGGCACAGCUCACAUUCUUAAAUUUCUUAUACACUUUAUUUUAGCACGUCUAGACUGUGGAGAUUAAUUAUUUCUCUAAUGGCGCUCUAGCAACCCAGAGUGUGACCCUUUACUUCAUUUAACAUGAAUGAAAAAAUCUCAUACUAACCUUUACUCUCAGCACAGUGAGCAAUCCAUCUUUUAUUUGACCUCAUCUCCCAUCUCUCUUCACCUGGAAUAAGAAUAAACAGUAGCAUGUCAUAUGAAAGAACCGCAGAUGGCUCCAUAUUGCCAGUUGAAUCAGAUCAAACCUUCUAAUCUUGACCUACUUUUCCUCCCACAUAUAUCCCUUUUACCAAGGUAGAUAAACCCAUGCUCUCACCACACAUCUAACAAUAUAGAAGCAAAGUGCAGCAUGGCGUGCAUUCUGCAUCUCUCCUCAUAGCUGAGGUACACCGAAACAGUUUCAGCUAUUAUAAAUCAUUUACUGCACAGUCCAUUCCUGCUUUAAGGGGGUACAUUAGGCUAUACACUUAACUCUGGUUGAAAAUACUGUAUGCUCUUCAAGGAUCGCUUGUUUGUCAUUGUAUGUGUGUGUCAUGACCUGUGACCUGGUGGCUUUCGUGUCACUUGAGUAACUGCUUUUGUAUAUAUGUGUCUAUUAAUGAUCAUAAGACUUGGAGCGCCAUUUUCAUGCAGUGUAAUUUAGUGAUACUGUAUAACACUGGUAUAUUGCAGUUUUUUCCUAUUAUUACCCAGUUGCUAUUUUUGUGUUCAUAAAUAAACACUAAAAUGGCUGGCGCAGUGCAACAGGGGCUAUAACGUUCAAAAUCUAUCAUCAUAGUGAUAUUUUUUAAAUCCAUAAGGACCAAAUUCUAUUGUACAUUACUGCCUAUGGAGAUCCUGAUGCUAAAAUGGUAUUUUCCUGUCCAAUUUCUUCCAAGAUGGUUUAGCUGAUGUACACUAUUAAUGUCAUGUCACUUCAAUAUCAAGAGGCUUCUUAUCCAAAUAAUAACUAAAUAUAACUGAGUCAAUCAUUUUAUUUAUAUCAAAUAAGAUCAAACAGAUCAGCUCUGGCUACCAAAUGUGGAUCAGACAAUCGAGACAUAAUUACAUGUGGACUAUCGCUUAAUUAAUGCAAUCAACUGAAUGUCUGACAAAACUAAUUCAAUGCUAAUGGCUACAGAGACCAGGAGUUGGCUGAUAUAGAUCGUUCCAGAGGCUCGCACAUGUAAGUGAAAAAGAAAAUAGAAAACACAUUUAUUGUAAGUUUUGUCAGCCAGUUGGUUAUUUCUACCCCUACAAUAUUGCAGAGAAAUAUACAAGUGGAAUCUAAUAGUAUAUUAUUAUCGAAAUAUUACUGCACUGAACCGCAGUCUUUAAAAAGAGCGAGAUGAGAUUGCUGACAUUGUUUGGAUCGUCUACCACACAUUGUGGUAAUGUACUCAUACUAAUGAUGUGACUACAUUACACAACAUAAAGAUUAUAUAAUGCUGCAUUUGUUGUAUGAUCAGGUAUGUCAUGUGGUAGGCAAUUUAGGUUAUAAACACACUACUUAAUCUCAGAAAAACUCCAAGGUACCAGCAAAGACAGUUCAGCUUGGCAAAGAGACAGCGAGAGAAAAUUAGACUUGACGUAAACAUGAACACUGACUACAAACCUGUAAUAAUAAAGUGUAAGCUUUUAUUGUCGAUAUUAUACACCAUAAGUGAAAAAGAUCAAUUGUGUGCAUGAACAUGAAUUUAAAAAAACAACAACUUCUCCUGGGGAAAAAAGACAAAAAACAGUCUCGUCGUCAAUACAGGUUUUCAGUUUUAAUGUGAUCAGGACAUGAGACAACGGAGAGACAGCAGAUAUGCAUGCAACCCCCUCUCUCUUUCUUUGCCUGCUCUGCCCUGGGCAGCAAUAGUUUGGUAUUGCCAAGGCAAGCUGGAUAGUUACCAUGGAGAUCUGUAUAAACCUCGACUCCGCCACCCUACAAGACGGGUGAGGCCAUGCAUUUGGGCGUGCACACACAUACACACACACACACACACACACACACACACACACACACACACACACACAGAAACCCACACAGGUAGUCACACAUCCCUGUCUUGUGCCAGAGGCUCCAAUUUUUUAUAUGUGUGUAAAUUAACUCAUGUUUAUCUAAAGAAGGAGAAAAUAGCCCUUCCUCCUAAUAGCUUACUCACUAUAACCAAGGCUGAGGGAUUACCUAUAAAACCGAAUAGUGGAUUUAAAGGAUUAUAACUAUUAAAAUUAGCAACACUUUUAAAAGCACAAUUAACAUUUUGGACACAAUUACAUACUCUGUUCUCUACACCUAAUUUUAACAUUUUCUUUUGUAUUAAAUGUUUUUUAUUUUUAGUUUUUUUUAAUGUGGCUGUGAUUAAAAUUAAACGUGUGUGCAUUGUGUGUGUGUGUGUGUGUGUGUGUGUGUGUGUGUGUGUGUGUGUGUGUGAGUAUCUAGGGACAUGUGGAGUUCAGACCACAGUUCAUCCAGAAGUGAUUCUUUUCAUUAGCUAUUAUAAAUAAUUUAUCAGUGAGGCUGUUCUCUACAAAAACAGCACUUGCAGUUACAUACACCAUGUAGGCCACACACACACACACACACUCUCUCUCUCUCUCUCUCUCUCUCUCUCUCUCUCUCACAAAACCCAGAGGCAGUAACUCCCACAUAGAUAUUUUGUUACCAUCAUUCAGCACUUUUACAGAAAAGUCUUCAACUGCAGUAAGUACAAACAUCCUGAUCACAUUCAUUACCAUCAUGUAUAGUACCUUCAGUAGAGAGACAGCACAAAACAUCAAGGGUUAAUAUUCAAUCUUGCAUCUACUCCUCUUUCUGCCUCUUUUGUAUAUCCAAGAUGGAAGCACCAUUCUCGAACGCACACGCUAAAAAUAAUCCUCCAUGAUUGGAGGGAUGAAGUGUCAAUUAUUCUUAUGCAAAUGUGCCCAGUUUCUCACGUUUCCAAAGAGAAAGACCACAGAUGGCUACACAGAAAUCUCUGCGCGAGGCUACCAGACAAAAAGAGCUUGCAUAAUAAUGUGACGCCGCUAUUUGCAUGUCUGUCUUCCGCCGCAAUGAAAAAUCAAGCACAGCGGAGAGGGUUCAUGCAAUCGUAAGUGCCUUGAAAACAGACAAUAUGGAUGCGCUCAUUAAAAGGAUAGCUAAUUUACAUACAUCGAUGCAAAAAUAGCACAUUAGCAUGCUACAGUUCUUUCCUAAUACUUGAUUAUAAAAAUGUUGUUGUUGUUUGUUUUUUUUUUAAAGACGAGAUUUUCGUUCUCUUCUUAUCCAAUAAGCAUGCCAUUGAGGAAAUCUUAAGGAAAUCUGCACCCAUAACCUUUCUACCCUUCAAAUACAUUCUACAUUGAAUAUGUGACCUAUUUUCUCACGUGUGGAACGUGUGGAUGACGUGUGGAACUACUCAGACCUAAUUACACAUCUGAAGCGUUCGUGUUAAUCGAAGCAAAUCUCCUGCACCUGCCAAUCAAGCGAUUUCAUCUUGAGAAAGCAAACCCGGGUUUGGUAAAAUGUGUGCAAGAACAACAGAAUUGUAAAAAGGAAAAAGGAAGACAAACAGUGAAAGAGAAAGGCAGGGGCAUGAGCGAAAGAACAUGAAGCUGCUCUGCCAGUGUGACCCGAACAAGUCGCUAAAAUGUGAUUCCUGACAGUUCGCUCACACUCGGCCUAAGAGACAGCAGCCUCUUUGCUUUCACACUAAAAACCAUGAUUUUGUCUCAGACAAGUCUGCCACCUGACACACCUGCUGUGGAAGCUCGAAACUAGAAAGACAAAUAUGCGGAUAAGCUCCAGCAGGCUAGAGUGGAAAUGGUGGACUGUUAGCUUUCAGCCCGAGAAAGAAUGAGAAUGAUAGCAUGUCACGAAAUUAACGUUCAAAACAAUGUAAUACUGUAUUAUGCAAAUUCUAACAAGCAAAUUUCAAAUUAGUUGGAAGAAGACCUAUCGGUUUAACCCAGGUCCUCGUACUAAGCUAAGCAUUAGCAACUUUUCCUCUGUCUUUUUUUAAUGUAGGAAAGAACAGCCUGGUUUAAAUGUUUUCCUAGUAUGAAAUGUUUAAACACGAGACAGGAAUAAAGGAAUGCUGACCUUCCCAGCUGAUGCUGUACUGGAAAAUGGGGAAAGAACAUGAUAAAAAAAAGCUUUUCAGCUCCCAAAGAGUGGAUCAAGAAACCUGCUGUGGCAUCCUGUUACAUGGUGACAAUGGAGCUCUUUCAAAAUGAGUCGAAACAUUGCAGCCAGGUCGUCAAGUUCUGCUGAUUGUCUCACACAGGGUCAAAAGCGACAGGAGAGAAGGAGUUUGUGGAGUUAUCUUAGACGAUAAUGGCCGUCUCCGGUUCGAGAUAGGCUUGCUGUGUUAACUUUGUUUUGACCCUUCUGUCUCCUAAACUAUUGUUGUCCAAAGAGUCAGAGACCUGUCAUACCAUUUAUGCCAUAUAACCAUCUGGAUGUUGGACUAUGUUACCAAUUUUGGAUUGACUUCUGCACUAAUAUUGUUAUUACAAAACGAUGACACGUUAGAACCGGUUUUAAGACAAUUCAUCGUAAGAAUUUUCUUGAAGUCAUCAGAUCCAGCAGGAUUAAAAGAAACUAUUAAUCAUUCAGAUUUUUGAAGAAAUAUGAGGCACUCAGAAUGAUAAUCGAUUUUAAAAAUCCUGUAAUAUUUCUUGGCUACUCAGUCAUAGUUAUAGUUAAAACACAUGCCUACGCUUUUCAGCCAUUAAUGCCUUCAUCAUGGUAAGUGACUUGCUAACAUCUAGAAGAAACAGCCCAAGAGCACCCAUUUUGACUUGCCUUGAUGAAGGCAUGUGUUUAAACUGUUACUAUGACUGAGUAGCCAAGAGAUAUUAAAGGCUUUUCUGAGUGCCUCAUCGUUCUUCAGUAAUACACCAGAAGUAGGAUCCCCAUACCAAAGCGCACCAGAGGGAUAUGUUUAUCUACACCCGAGCAGCACUCUAUGCAAACGUUUUUGAUAAACUAUUAAUCAUGUAUAUCCUUAGCUAAACUUUCUCAAUGUAUUAGAAAACCGUUUUACAGUAUUAUGUGGAAUCUUUAGAUAAUUCAUUUGAGCAUUCCCAAAUAAAUCUUAUUUCACAAACAUCUUUAAUCAUCAUAGUCGAACAUUUGCAAUUUAUAAUAAUUCCCACAGUGAGGUUAAGGUUGGGACAAGGCUAAUGUAGUUUGUACGUUUUCCUAACACCUUAUUGGUAUCUACGCACUCUGUCCUUGUUUGAAUUCAUACAAAUAAAUGCUCAUGACAUCAUGUUCCUUUAGCACAAUGGCUUACUCCAGGUCAAGGUCCAGUUACAAAGGUCUGGAUAAGCAACUAGCAUGACCGAAUGGCUAUAGCAGUUACCUUUUAACACUUAACCGUGUCAUGAAAGUGUGUGAAAUCUCUCUCCUUUCUGAGCUAAUGUCUUUAGCCCUGUAGCUAGUCUGUGGUCCGAUGAGCUGCUUUCAGCUAAAACAUUUACAUGAAUGCAUGUCAUUGGAUAAACCGUAACAGAGGAUCUGCUAGAGCUGCUGGUUCAAAACUAGCAUCGGUGAACUACACCCAGUUUUUUCAUACAUUUAUCAGGUCUGCUACAGUAUUUCUCAAGAUCUCACUGAAAUUUUUUGCUGGUUUCAUAUCUGGACCACGGUCCACUAGUUGAUAUUCCAUGGCUAGUUGAUUACUAUUAGCCUAACAUGACUCAGAUUCUGAACUAUGGUAUUAAUCAGUCUGUAUAGGAUUUCAUGGAGUUUUUUUUAUGAUUGUUGCGGCCAAAAAUGCUUGAUUUUGCUGCAGCUUUUUUCAAGAUUUGCAAUGCAACUUGUGGCGUUAUUGGUGGGUUUUUGAAUUGGCGAAACUGCAAUUGCAGGAAAUUAUUUCAAACGGUCUUUCACAGUGAUGAAAUGAGACCUUUCAGCUGUACUCAUGUUCGAUGCAUGUGAAUCGAAGAGGGCUUUGACUGAAUGCACGUUGUGAUGAUGUCACAUGAUGCCCAAAUCUGGAGAAAAUCUGCGGUAAUUUUGUACAAUUGCAAGCUUCUCUGAAUAUUGUGGGUUUUGUGUUCAUUUCUGCGAAUCGUGAAACCCUGGAGGAACUGUUUAAUACAACUGUAAAAGAUCAGGUUUGUGACCUGCUCAAGACUGACCCAACUAAUUAUUCAUUAUUUAGGCUUAUUCCUCACUAGCAAUACUGUAUCCAAUGUAGCAGAUAUAUGCAUGGCCUAGAUACUGUCACCUCCAUGAUGGACAAAAGCUCACACACACUCAGAACUCUGUAACCCAAUGUCUUUUAUUUUCACCUACACCCCCACUCCUGAAAAAAAAAAAUGUGUGUCUCUAUGUUUGUGUGUGUCAAACACAUCAAAAACCGUAAGGUGAAUCCUUUUGAGCUGGCAGCACGGUUGGCCACAGGAUGAAUAAACAUCCAUGUCAGGGGAAACUGAUACACUCCCUUUUCAGCCAGACGGGCCUCUCGUGGGAAAAACAGCUCAUACACAAUGGACAGAGACGGCCUUUUGUUGAGGCUCUCAGAGAUGUGGGCUAGCUCUUCUCUCCAGCCUGUGCCAUGAACAGACCACUCCCCUCAGCUCUCACAGUGACUCAAACACACACACACACACACACACACACACACACACACACACACACACACACACACACACACACACACACACACAGUUUGUUCCUUCCUUCAGAAACAACAUACAAAUCUUUUUGAUUCUUCUUUGCAAAGAAAAGACAUUAACAAGAAAAAAAUGUUAGGAAUAGGAAAAAGAACGAGCGAGAAAGUGUGUGUAGCUUAGCCCAUGCUUAAACCACCCCCAGAGGGGGUUUAACACCAGAUCUAAAUCCUUGAGAUAGUGUCCUGCCAUGACAUCGCUCUAAAAAAGUCCACAUGCUAGAGCCCACAGCAGGUUAGCCUGGGGGAAUUUAUGUACUCCUUUGACCAAGAUUCAAAGAUUUUAGCUUUAGACAGCUGAGGGUUUGGGGGUAAGGGGGAAGGUGGGGGUAUUUCCUCAUUGGGUGGGUUGCUCAAUCUUUCAGUCUUCAUACUGAACCUGAACUUGACAUUGAUGAUUUUCUCUCUUUUCUCACAAGAAAUCACACUGGGUCAUUUCCUUGAAGGAAAGAGUUUGACCACAUACCUUGUCAUUUUAUAUUUUUAGGAUUUGGACAGUCAGAGGAGAAAAAAAAAACAUCCUUUAAACUCCAUUUAGAAACUCACUCCAUAUUCUUCUUUUAUGCUAAUUUCAUUUACCAUUUAAAGCAUUGCCACUAAUCAAUACACUAUUCUCAAAUUACUGUUAAUAUUGACAUCUUAAUUGGUCUGGACUACUCUGACUUGAGAAAAGUUGGCUCUCUUUUUUCCCCAGGCAAUCACAUAGACACCUUCUCUCCCUUGCCCAAUUGUUUGCUUUCAGCUCCAAUUUGGGGCACAAUAAAGUUGUUAUGCAUGGCAGGUUUGGAAAUGGACGUGGCUCGAGCUGGUGCUAGAGUCUGGCUCAGUUACUGGGCCUGCGAGGAGGAACUCACAUGCUGAUGCUGAGACGUUCUCAGGCUGAUAAAAAAUAAUCAUAUUCAACUCAGAUGUUGAAAUCUGGGGACAUGAACAAAUCUUCUUAUACACCAUUGCUCUAUGGAAGAGACUUUUAAAAAUAUUACUAUUACUGUUCACAGUCUAUAUGAAUCCUCUGUUCAUAUGUAUUAUAUUAACAUUAAUACUAAUGUUAUAUCAGUAACACUUUCUAUAAAGGCCAUGUGUAUAAUGACAUCCAUAAACAUGCUAUAAUGCAUAUCAUCAUAUGUCAUAGCAGGCUUUAAAUAAUGGGAGCAUUUAAAACAAACAAACAAACAAAAAUAUUUUAAAGUGUGAAUAAGAUAUCAAGGAGAAACCAAAGGUGAAUGUUAUGAUAUAGCAUAUAUUAUAACAGAGACUGUGGAUUAUUGUGCAUAAUAUUCUUACAAACCUACUGUAUAUUAAAAUGCAUUAUGUAAUUCGACUCGCCAUUUAUAAAAUGCUUGGAAAUGGUAUCUAUGUUAUAAUAACUACUUAUGUGCAGCUAUUUUAGGCAUUAAAAUAUGGUAUUAUGCAUGCUAUAUAAUAUGCUAUGAAUGCAUUUAUACUGCAUGCACAAUUCAUAGGCAGUGUUUCGGUAUAACUAUAUUUGUGGAUCUUUUUAAUGUUAAACUACAAUAAAUAAUAAGCAACAGACAAAGUAUUUACCAGUAAAGCAAAAGUAAGUUGUUCCAAAGCAUGCUUAUUGGUGAGUUUAAUAUGGUAUUUGCUCUGUUACGUGUGCACAGAAGAAAGUGCUUUUGUGGGGUCCUGAAAUCGGGUGACCAUAUGUGCGAGCGUUCUGUAUCUUUCUGCUACACCGCCUCACACAAGGGGGACCACCAUAACUUAGUUUGUCUACCAUACAAAGUUUCAGCCAAGCUUGGAUGGACUCAUCAGACGUCUUUUCUUUGAAACCAAUGAAGCUCAAAAGACCUCCAACAAAGGAGCUAAUCACUGCCUCUUUCCUCAGGCCUAGUCCCGGUUUCUCUUUUCACCAGCUGAGCCUUAGAUCAUUUCUCAACGCUAGCUGGCCUGUUUAGCGAUCUGACACGGCUGUGGCUAUUGUUUCUCUUUCUUUUGAUAUGACUUCAUGAAGCUGUGAAAUGUUUGUACAUUUCAUUUUAAUGUGCACUUGGAGCGUGCAUAGUGUGUUUAGAGAUAUAUUCAGACAUGCAUGUUAGGUCAUGGACAAGUCAGGGUAAAAUCCAUCCAUCCUCCUACACAUGUUUACAAAGCACUGUGAGAUCUGGUGCAGAGGGUACUGUGCCAUGAGAUACCAAUUUGCGUAUGGCAAUACGUGGGACUGUGUGUCAAGGGCUGGAUGUUUGGUGUGUGUGUGUGUGUGUGUGUGUGUGUGUGUGUGUGUGUGGGUGUGUGUGUGGUGGGUGUGGGGCUAUGGCAGACAAUGCAGCCCCAGGCUCCUCUAUUCUGGCUUUGACCUUGAACCUCAGCAGCCUCCAUUCCCAUGGAUUCAGACUCUGUGUGUGUGUUUGAGUGCAUGUUCUCUCAAUCUCUGCUUCAUUUCUAAUCCUGCAUACAAUCAUCCAGUGAAUAAAGCACCCAAGAAGCAAAGUUGUUCUCUUCUCACAACCACCUACAGAGCCUGAUCUCGCUCAGAGCUGGUAGCUUAGCUACAACUGCUAAUGCUACACCACUGAUCUUUGCUCCACACUCUUCAUGACCAGAAAGAGGAAAGGGAAAAACAAAUGAGAUUUUUUUUUUCUGUCAGUGAUCAGACAUUGACAACAUGUUAUAAAUGAAACCUGAUGAAUAGAUCUGGUUUGAUUUCAUGUGAAUGAAGUCGUAAUAAGUAAUGGGGCGAAUAUUUAUAUUCUAGCUGACUUUCAUAUGGAUAGAAUUAUUAAUUAUACUUAAAGUGAACUGUAAGCAUUGCACAUGAGUGCUUGUUCAGACAUGUCUGGAGAGCACAUUCAAUUAAGAAAAUUAUUGGCAUAUUUUAUUAAUUACCAAAUGGUAAGUAUGAUAAAAUAGUCUAUAUCCCACACACACAUUACGUGGCCACAGUAAUUUUUUUAUUAAUUAACAUUAAGCCCAUAAUCUAAAAAAAAAAAAUUAUAAACAACAGUAGAUUCAAUAUUUCAGCCAUGUUUAAGUUUCACACUUUCUGCCACUGUACAUGAAAUUCAUAGUGCAAACAAUAGUAUGCGCUGGAUCAAGUGCUAUUCUAUAAGAUAAAGUGAAGGUAGACGCCACAUUGUUAAAUUAAACUAAAUAUGAUGAUUACAGUUAGGAAUAUUCAUGCAGCAAUUUAUUGGCAAUAUACCAGACUAGUUGUUUAUUAGAAUGCUUGCCUUCUUCUCAUUCAUAAAUCCUUGUAUUAGACUUUUUAAAACUGCUUUCAUGUUACAUCACAUUGCAGUUCACAGCAAAUAAUUGCAUUUGCUUCUUCAGUCUACAUUUUUUUAGGCUUAAAGGCUUACGUUUAAAGGUGGCACUCUAGAUGGUACUGAAAAAAAGUCUUAUAAGCUGACUUUGACUAUCAACAUUGCCUUCAUAAAUUAAGAGUUCAUUUCAACUCUGAAUACACCCUAUUGGUAUUAACUAAAGCUAAAGCUCAGGGAUAAUUUUGAGCCGUUUGUUACUACCUUUAUUUUUAUCUGAUGGAAACCAUGCAUACCAUUUAAGGCAACCAGGGGUACUUAUUUUUGUGAGUUUUUGCACGAUUUUAGCUGUUCAUACUUGGUACAUACUAUGUCUUAGUUCUGACAACUAACUACUGUAAGUAGUGUAAUAUUUGGUAAUGCUUUACAUUAAUAUUUCCUUAACUGGCAUUAUUUAGGCAUUUGUUAACUAGGGUGCCCGUUUUCCAAAAAGAGGACACCACUUUUUUUUUUUGAUGGAGGGGUGGUUUAUUAGCAUUCAAAACAGUGUUACUAUGAAUGCAGACUUUAAUACACUGAAAAUGACACACUAUUAGCAUCACAUAAAUAUAUAUAAAUGAGAUUGGUUUCACUCUGCCCACAUGUUAAUUUUUUCCUACAUUCUUUUGAAUGUCCAUGGAAUAAAAUAAAACAUCAGAUGCCACAAGUGUACGUUCUUCCUCUUAUACCAUUAUUCACACAUUUGAAUAGCCAUGUAAUAUGAAGUGUUACAAUGUGAUAUCAUGAAAUUAAAAAUGACCUUGUAUGGCCAUGGACAUUGAUUUGACUCAGGACAGCUGUCAUUUGCUGCUUCUGUCAAGCAACUGUCUGAUGCUGUAUACAACAGUGCUUCACCUUCGCACGUUUGCUGAGAGUAGGCUUGGUUGAGAGGCAGGAAUUUGGCCAAUAGUUGCUGCAAGCCUUUUAUAAUCGACCAACUGGUGUGCGAGAAAACGGGAAUUACAGAGAGGGGUUAAAGCAAUGCAAAUAUGCGCACACAUGAUGCAAUAUUUCUCCAUAAGCACAUCAUAAACUAAAGCCAAAUCCCGGACAUUUCCUCAUAUUUAGAAAUCCCGGUCGGAUGCUUUUUUAAGGUCCGAAAAAGCGGACAUGUUGUAGAAAAAGAGGAUGUAUGGUCACCCUAAGUUAACGCAAAUAGCCUUGUCGUUCGACACCACCAAAUAAUAUUAAUACAGUAACACUUAAAAUGUUUGAUAUAUAACAAUAAACCAAAUAAUCAUGAACCUGCAUAAAGCAAUGUUCAUAACAUGAUUUUCUCAUUUUUGCGAACUUAUCUUUAACAUUACUUAUUACAUGUGUAUUUCAUUAACGUUUAAACAAAUUUCAAUAAUACAUGUCAGCUUUCUUUGCUUAUUAAUUAUGACGUUCACUACUUGUUCAAUGUAUUCGAUGCAGUAAAUAAUGUUACUUAAGUGGAAUCUUAAAUAACUAAUGUAUGAAAUUGUAUGACAUUUGUAUGAAAGUUCAUGUACUAUAAUAAGGGCCAAACUGAUUGUUUUCUAUAUAUAUAUAUAUUUUUUAUAAUUUAGAAUUAUAUAAGAAUUUACCAUUACCUAUUUACGAUGCUUUAUUUAGUUAACCAUCUGUAUACUGAAUACUAAAACAAUGACUAUCACUCA